CCAAUAGCGUAUAUUAAAGUUGUUGCAGUUAAAAAGCUCGUAGUUGAAUUUCGGGGUUAGUAGGUUGGUCAUGCCUCUGGUAUGUACUGGUCUCACUGAUUCCUCCUUCCUGAUGAGCCGUAAUGCCAUUAAUUUGGUGUUGCGGGGAAUUUGGACUGUUACUUUGAAAAAAUUAGAGUGUUUAAAGCAAGCUAACGCUUGAAUACAUUAGCAUGGAAUAAUGAAAUAGGACGUUCGAUCCUAUUUUGUUGGUUUCUAGGAUUGACGUAAUGAUUAAUAGGGAUAGUUGGGGGCAUUAGUAUUCAAUUGUCAGAGGUGAGAUUCUUGGAUUUAUUGAAGACUAACUACUGCGAAAGCAUUUGCCAAGGAUGUUUUCAUUAAUCAAGAACGAAAGUUAGGGGAUCGAAGACGAUCAGAUACCGUCGUAGUCUUAACCAUAAACUAUGCCGACUAGGGAUCGGAUGAUGUUAAUUUUUUAAUGACUCAUUCGGCGCCUUACG
rnacentral:rRNA from 1 species